rnacentral:rRNA from 1 species
AGUGUACGCUGGCGGCGUGCUUAACACAUGCAAGUCGAACGAGAACGGGUUAUAGCUUGCUAUAAUUGUCAGCUAAGUGGCGCACGGGUGAGUAAUGUAUAGGUAAUAUGCCUCUUACUAAGGGAUAACAAAUGGAAACGUUUGCUAAUACCUUAUACUCCUUAUUAACAGAAGUUAAUAAGGGAAAGAUUUAUUGGUAAGAGAUUAGCCUGUAUUGUAUCAGUUAGUUGGUGGGGUAAUGGCUUACCAAGACUAUGACACAUAACUGGUUUGAGAGGAUGAUCAGUCACACUGGAACUGAGACACGGUCCAGACUCCUACGGGAGGCAGCAGUGGGGAAUAUUGCACAAUGGACGAAAGUUUGAUGCGGCAACGCCGCGUGGAGGAUGACACAUUUCGGUGCGUAAACUCCUUUUAUAUGAGAAGAUAAUGACGGUAUUAUACGAAUAAGCACCGGCUAACUCCGUGCCAGCCGCCGCGGUAA